GACAGAGGAUGCAAGCGUUAUCCGGAAUGAUUGGGCGUAAAGCGUCUGUAGGUGGCUUUUUAAGUCCGCCGUCAAAUCCCAGGGCUCAACCCUGGACAGGCGGUGGAAACUACCAAGCUGGAGUACGGUAGGGGCAGAGGGAAUUUCCGGUGGAGCGGUGAAAUGCGUAGAGAUAGUGGAGAACACCGAUGGCGAAGGCAGCCCCCUGGGUCAAGAU
rnacentral:rRNA from 1 species